rnacentral:rRNA from 1 species
AUUGAACGCUGGCGGCAGGCCUAACACAUGCAAGUCGAGCGGAGCGGCGGACGGGUACGUGAUGCCUAGGAAUCUGCCUCGUACUGGGGGAUAACGUCCGGCAACGGUCACUGAUACCGCAUACUAUCACAUGCGCCUAGGUCUGUUUAGCUAGUUGGUGGGGUAAAGGCCUACCAAGGCGACGAUCCGUAACUGGUCUGGGAGGAUGAUCAGGCACACUGGAACUGAGACACGGUCCAGACUCCUACGGGAGGCAGCAGUGGGGAAUAUUGGACAAGGGGCGAAAGCCGGAUCCAGCCAUGCCGCGUGUGUGAAGAAGGUCUUCGGAUUGUAAAGCACGUUAAGUUGGGAGGCGGUACCAACAGAAUAAGCACCGGCUAACUUCGUGCCAGCAGCCGCGGUAAGAC